rnacentral:rRNA from 1 species
UGAUGCUAUACUGCAGUCGAGCGACAGACGAGGAGCUUGCUCCUCUGACGUUAGCGGCGGACGGGUGAGUAACACGUGGAUAACCUACCUAUAAGACUGGGAUAACUUCGGGAAACCGGAGCUAAUACCGGAUAAUAUAUUGAACCGCAUGGUUCAAUAGUGAAAGACGGUUUUGCUGUCACUUAUAGAUGGAUCCGCGCCGCAUUAGCUAGUUGGUAAGGUAACGGCUUACCAAGGCAACGAUGCGUAGCCGACCUGAGAGGGUGAUCGGCCACACUGGAACUGAGACACGGUCCAGACUCCUACGGGAGGCAGCAGUAGGGAAUCUUCCGCAAUGGGCGAAAGCCUGACGGAGCAACGCCGCGUGAGUGAUGAAGGUCUUCGGAUCGUAAAACUCUGUUAUUAGGGAAGAACAAAUGUGUAAGUAACUAUGCACGUCUUGACGGUACCUAAUCAGAAAGCCACGGCUAACUACGUGCCAGCAGCCGCGGUAAUACGUAGGUGGCAAGCGUUAUCCGGAAUUAUUGGGCGUAAAGCGCGCGUAGGCGGUUUUUUAAGUCUGAUGUGAAAGCCCACGGCUCAACCGUGGAGGGUCAUUGGAAACUGGAAAACUUGAGUGCAGAAGAGGAAAGUGGAAUUCCAUGUGUAGCGGUGAAAUGCGCAGAGAUAUGGAGGAACACCAGUGGCGAAGGCGACUUUCUGGUCUGUAACUGACGCUGAUGUGCGAAAGCGUGGGGAUCAAACAGGAUUAGAUACCCUGGUAGUCCACGCCGUAAACGAUGAGUGCUAAGUGUUAGGGGGUUUCCGCCCCUUAGUGCUGCAGCUAACGCAUUAAGCACUCCGCCUGGGGAGUACGACCGCAAGGUUGAAACUCAAAGGAAUUGACGGGGACCCGCACAAGCGGGGGAGCAUGUGGUUUAAUUCGAAGCAACGCGAAGAACCUUACCAAAUCUUGACAUCCUCUGACCCCUCUAGAGA